rnacentral:miRNA from 1 species
CCAGAAAUGGCUGUCCAGA